GCACUGCUAAGGAGUCCUAAACAGGACGAAACAGUUGUCCAGUGU
rfam:Echinostoma caproni strain Egypt genome assembly, scaffold: ECPE_scaffold0000896